CAAGGAAGUCACGGCAUACGGUGGAUGCCUUGGCACGCGGAGGCGACGAAGGACGUGGCAAACUGCGAUAAGCCUCGGGGAGCGGUAAGCAGGCGGUGAUCCGGGGAUCUCCGAAUGGGGUAACCCACGAGGGGUAAUGCCCACGUAACCGUGCCUGAAUCCAUAGGGCACGGUGGCGAACGAGGGGAACUGAAACAUCUUAGUACCCUCAGGAAAAGAAAGCAACCGCGAUUCCCUCAGUAGCGGCGAGCGAACAGGGAAGAGCCCAAACCGUAUAACUGGAAGCCUGCCGGCGUUGGUUAUCGGGGUUGUGGGGCAGCGUUGGGCGGGGCGGCAGACCUGCCGGGGCGACGGUGCCAGGUAUAGGCGAAGGCGUUGGAAACCGCCACCAGAGAGGGUGAAAGUCCCGUAGCCGAAAUGUCUCGGCCGGCCCUGGACGCUGUUCCCAAGUACCGCGGGGCACGUGGAACCCUGCGGGAAUCUGGGAGGCCCACCUCCCAAGGCUAAAUACUACCGCGUGACCGAUAGUGGACGAGUACCGUGAGGGAAAGGUGAAAAGCACCGCCGUGAGGCGGAGUGAAAGAGAACCUGAAACCGUAUGCCUACAAGCGGUAGGAGCCCUAUGUCCGGUGGCACACCGGGCAGCGGGUGACCGCGUGCCUUUUGCAUAAUGAGCCAACGAGUGACGCUAGCGCGCAAGGUUAAGCCGUGAGGCGGAGCCGUAGCGAAAGCGAGUCCGAAGAGGGCGUUGAGUGCGUUGGCGUCGACCCGAAGCCAGGUGAGCUACCAUGGCCAGGGUAAAGCGGCGGUAACAGGUCGUGGAGGCCCGAACCGACCAAGGUUGAAAACUUGGCGGAUGAGCUGUGGGUAGGGGUGAAAGGCCAAUCAAACCUGGAGAUAGCUGGUUCUCCCCGAAAUAUAUUGAGGUAUAGCCUCGCAGAGCGCGUGCCGGCGGUAGAGCACUGAUAGGAGCUAGGGGCCCUACCAGGUUACCGAAACCUAUUCAAACUCCGAAUGCCGGCAACGACAGCUGCGGGAGUCAGACUGCGGGGGAUAAGCUCCGUGGUCGAGAGGGAAACAGCCCAGACCGUCCGCUAAGGUCCCCAAAUCGCCGCUAAGUGGCAAAGGAUGUGACAGCACCCAGACAGCCAGGAGGUUGGCUUAGAAGCAGCCAUCCUUUAAAGAAAGCGUAAUAGCUCACUGGUCGAGUGGUGUGGCGCCGAAAAUGUACGGGGCUCAAGCGGCGUACCGAAGCGGCGGAUGUCCUCCUUGGGAGGGCAUGGUAGGGGAGCGUUCUCAGCGGGGCGAAGCCGUACCGGAAGGCGUGGUGGACUGCUGAGAAGUGAGAAUGUUGGCAUGAGUAGCGAUUAAGGGGGUGAGAAUCCCCCUCGCCGAACACCCAAGGGUUCCUGGGCAAGGUCAUCCUCCCAGGGUGAGUCGGUCCCUAAGCCGAGGCCGAAAGGCGUAGGUGAUGGACAACUGGUUAAUAUUCCAGUACUCCUCAUGCGCGUUACGAGCGAUGGGGGGACGCAGGAGGGUAGCCCGGCCGGCGGCUGGACGUGCCGGUGCAAGCCGGUAGGAGGGGCGAGGAGGCAAAUCCCUUCGCCCGUUAACUCCGAGAGGCGAUGGCGAGACCUUCGGGUCACAAAGCGGGUGAGCCCACACUGCCAAGAAAAGCCUCUAGCCAGUGCAUGAGGAAACCGUACCCGAAACCGACACAGGUGGGUGGGGAGAGAAUCCUCAGGCGUUGAGGGAACCCUCGUUAAGGAACUCGGCAAGUUGGCCCCGUAACUUCGGGAGAAGGGGUACCCCACUAGCGUGAAGUCCCUUGCGGAUGGAGCGCGAAGGGGUGGCACUGACCAGGGCCUGGCGACUGUUUACUAAAAACACAGGUCUCUGCAAAGUCGUAAGACGACGUAUAGGGACUGACGCCUGCCCGGUGCCGGAAGGUUAAGAGGAGGGGUCAUCCCUUCGGGGAGAAGCCCUGAAUCGAAGCCCCGGUAAACGGCGGCCGUAACUAUAACGGUCCUAAGGUAGCGAAAUUCCUUGUCGGGUAAGUUCCGACCUGCAUGAAUGGCGUAACGACUAGGCCCCUGUCUCAACGAGGGUCUCAGUGAAAUUGUAGUCGCGGUGAAGAUGCCGAGUACCCGCGGAAAGACGGAAAGACCCCGUGCACCUUUACUACACCCUGAUAGUGGACGUCGGACAUUCAUGUGUAGGAUAGGUGGGAGGCUGGGAAGCGGGGGCGCCAGCUCCCGUGGAGCCGUCCUUGAAAUACCACCCUUGGAUGUUUGACGUCCUAACCAAGGCCCGUAAGCCGGGUCUGGGACACUGUCAGGCGGGUAGUUUGACUGGGGCGGUCGCCUCCUAAAACGUAACGGAGGCGCCCAAAGGUACCCUCAGGCGGUAUGGAAAUCCGCUGUUGAGUGCAAAGGCAUAAGGGAGCCUGACUGCGAGAGGGACGCGUCGAGCAGGGACGAAAGUCGGGCUUAGUGAUCCGGUGGUCCCUUGUGGAAGGGCCAUCGCUCAACGGAUAAAAGGUACGCCGGGGAUAACAGGCUGAUCCCGCCCAAGAGUUCACAUCGACGGCGGGGUUUGGCACCUCGAUGUCGGCUCAUCGCAUCCUGGGGCUGGAGCAGGUCCCAAGGGUUGGGCUGUUCGCCCAUUAAAGCGGUACGCGAGCUGGGUUUAGAACGUCGUGAGACAGUUCGGUCCUUAUCUUCCGCGGGCGCUGGAGUGCUGAGAGGAGCUGUCCCUAGUACGAGAGGACCGGGACGGACGCACCUCUAGUGUACCAGUUGUCGCGCCAGCGGCACCGCUGGGUAGCUACGUGCGGACCGGAUAACCGCUGAAAGCAUCUAAGCGGGAAGCCGACCUCAAGAUGAGCACUCCCGGGGUUUGCCCCCACAGACCCGUCGAAGACUACGACGUUGAUAGGCUGCAGGUGGAAGCGUGGCAACACGUGAAGCCGAGCAGUACUAAUCGGUCGGGCGACUUGACC
rnacentral:rRNA from 1 species